rnacentral:lncRNA from 1 species
GAACCUUGGUCUGAAUUCAAAACCUUGAUCUGAACCCUUCAGUCAUAUGCUGUAGAAACUUCCAACCUUCACCUAUCAAUUUGUAAUAAUUAACAUCUGUGGAUAUUUCAGCACCAGCCAGGCUCCGUGACUCCUGCAGGAUUCUUACCCAUUUUCAUCACUUUUAUCACCCACUGUUUUGAAAAACAAAACAAACUCUCCCUCCAAGGGGCUCCAGAGAACACACCAUCAU